rnacentral:rRNA from 1 species
GUGGGGAAUUUUGGACAAUGGGCGCAAGCCUGAUCCAGCCAUGCCGCGUGAGUGAAGAAGGCCUUCGGGUUGUAAAGCUCUUUCGGCCGGGAAGAAAUCGGCGACUCUAACAUAGUCGCUGGAUGACGGUACCGGACUAAGAAGCACCGGCUAACUACGUGCCAGCAGCCGCGGUAAUACGUAGGGUGCGAGCGUUAAUCGGAAUUACUGGGCGUAAAGCGUGCGCAGGCGGUUUUGUAAGACAGAUGUGAAAUCCCCGGGCUUAACCUGGGAACUGCGUUUGUGACUGCAAGGCUAGAGUACGGCAGAGGGGGGUGGAAUUCCUGGUGUAGCAGUGAAAUGCGUAGAUAUCAGGAGGAACACCGAUGGCGAAGGCAGCCCCCUGGGCCUGUACUGACGCUCAUGCACGAAAGCGUGGGGAGCAAACAGGAUUAGAUACCCCAGUAGUCC